UUUUCCCAGUACAAGUAGUUGAUUGUCCAUCUCUCUCCCAUUUGUUUCCAUUCCUACCUUCUCUCUCAACUUCGUCUCUUCCUACAACUUUGCUGUGAGAAUCUUGAGUGUGAUUUUUCUGCUUCUUUUCUUGUCAUUUCUCACUUCUCUCUGCCUGUAACCCUUUUUCCAGUAGUAACUGAAUCUGUUCAACGGCCGAAACUGAGUUAUCGAGGACGGUGAGAUCAAAUCGAAUUGACAAAUAUGUCUUGGUACUGAGUUACAUAUCUGACCACAUUACUGUUCGGAGUACUCGAUUUACAGCAACUGUUUUUUUUUCCGAUGGCAUUGAGCACCCAAAGAGCCUCUGCAUCUUUUGUUUCGAAUGAAUCCACUCCUCGAUGGAAGUAUGAUGUGUUUUUGAGUUUUAGGGGUGUAGACACCCGCAAGGGUUUUGUAUCUCAUUUAUACCGUGAAUUGUGCAAGUGCCAAGGAAUUACGACUUUCUUUGACGAUCGAGAGCUUGAAGGAGGAACAAGUAUUCAUCUUGAGCUCCCGAGUGCGAUCAGGGAAUCGCAUAUUGCAAUCGUUGUUCUCUCACCAAACUAUGCUUCUUCCAAAUGGUGCUUGAAUGAACUUACAACCAUUCUUCAAUGCAUGGAAGCCAGGAACACAGUUCUGCCAGUCUUCUAUGAGACAAAUCCAUCUGACGUUGGAAAUCAGAGGGGGUCUUUCGCCAAAGCCUUCGAUGAGCAUGAAGAAAAGUUCAUUAGUACCGAAGACAAAAUGAAGGUGACCCAGUGGAGAGAAGCUCUGAAAAAAGUAUCCAAAAUUUCUGGGUGGCAUUCGAAGGAGUCUAAGUGUGAAAGUGAGCUUAUUGAAAAAAUCGUCCAAAGCGUGUGGAGGAAAGUGCAAGCUACAUUCACGUUGUUAGAUUCUUCACAGAAAUUUGUUGGGGUUAAUUUUAGGCUAGAGCAACUAAGUUCGCUAUUAGCUCAUGAUGCCAAUGAUGUUCGCUUUAUAGGGAUAACGGGGAUGGGUGGCAUAGGUAAGACAACCCUUGCUAAGCUAGUUUAUGAUAAAAUCUUCCAUCAUUUUGAAGUUCAUUGCUUUCUUGGCAACGUUAGAGAGGUUUCUAAAAUAAACCGUACUCUAAUUGGCCUUCAAAAAAGACUUCUUUUUCCGAUGUUGAAAGAAAAGAUUGAAGAAAUUUGGGAUGAAGGGUGGGGAAGCAUUUUCAUUAAUAAGUGCUUAAGCAAUAAAAAGGUUCUUCUCGUACUUGAUGAUGUGGAUGAUUUAAAACAACUUGAAGUACUGGCUGGAAACCAAAGCUGGUUUGGUAUGGGAAGUAGAAUUGUGAUUACGACUAGAAAUGAAGGGUUGCUAGUCCAACAUGGUAUAGCAACAUCAUAUAAGAUGCGGGGGUUGAAUGACUGCGAAGCACUUGAGCUCUUUAGUCUGAAUGCCUUUAGGAAAGAACAACCCGAGAAAGACUUUUUGGAACUCUCAAAGCAUUUCCUAAAAUAUGCUAGAGGCCUUCCGCUAGUUCUUAAAACAUUAGGGUCUUUUUUGCAUACGAGAGGUCAGGAUGCAUGGAAGAGUACGUUGGAUAAUAUUCAUACGGUUCCAAAUCCAACAAUUUUCAAUACACUCAAAAUCAGUUAUGACGGACUAGAGGACAUAGAGAAGAGAGUUUUUCUCGAUGUUGCAUGUUUCCACAAGGGGAAGUGCAUGAAGCGAGUUAUUCAAAAGCUAGACAAUUCUUUUGAAAUUUCUAGUAGUAUUAUGAUAGAUCUACUAAUUGAGAAAUCUCUCUUAACUAUUGAAAAACGCGUCCAAUAUGAUAAAUCAGCCAAGCACUUCAUAGGGAUGCAUGAUUUGAUACAAGAAAUGGCAUGGACAAUUGUUGGUCAAGAGUCUAAAGAGCCCGGUCUACGGAGUAGGUUGUGGCUUCCCAAUGACAUUUUUCAUAUAUUCACGACCAAUACGGGAACGAGAGCUAUUGAAGGUAUAGUUUUACAGUUGCCUGUAAUAGAAGAGGUGCACUGGAGUUGUGAAGCCUUCUCUAGUAUGCAUGGACUGAGGUUUCUAGAAUUCGACAAUUUGAUCAUUUCUUCAAGUCCCAAAUUUCUUCCAUGUUCCUUGAGAAUUAUGGUUUGGAGUUGUUAUCCUUCCAAGUCUCUUCCACCAAGCUUUCACCCGCGUUUCCUUACCGAACUAAGAAUGCAUCAUAGCAAACUUGUUCGUUUAUGGGAUGGAAAAGAGAACUUUCCCAAGUUGAAAUGUAUUGAUCUGAGCUACUCAAAUAAAUUGAUCCGUACCCCAGAUUUCAAUGGUCUUCAAAAUCUUGAGGUGUUGAUUCUUCGGUGUGUAAGAAUUUAGUUGAAAUUCACUCAUCAUUUGCAGUUCUUAAAAAACUCAAAGUUUUGAAUCUUCGUGGCUGUACAAGCAUUAAGAGCCUCCCAAGUGAAGUAGAAAUGGAUGCUCUUGAGUUUUUAAAUCUUUCCAGAUGCUCCAAAGUGAAAAAGAUCCCAGAAUUUUCGAACCAGAUGAAAAGUUUGUCCAAGCUUUUUGUACGUGGGACUACGAUUGAGAAAUUACCGAUUGAACAUCUGGUUGGCCUUACUAAACUGAGUAUCAGUAAGUGCAAAAGAGAGCCGUUUGUUAAUAUGAAAAAUCUCAAAUUUCUUCGGCUUUCCGGACAACUUGCUAAACCAAGUGAUGAUUGGGACCUUCUCCGUUUGGUGUUGUCUUCUUUAUAUCAUUUGCGUUGUUUGAAGGUGUUACGACUACGUUAUUGUGAUCUUGGUGAAGGUGAUAUCCCCAAUGAUAUUGGUUGCUUGUCCUCUUUAAAAGAGUUAGAUCUUCGUGGAAACAAUUUUGUUACCCUUCCAGCAAGCAUCAAAUGCCUUUCUCGACUCGAGCGUCUUUACUUGGUCGGGUGCGAAAGACUUGAGCAACUGCCAGAUCUUCCGUCAAAUAGCAAAUUACACGUAUAUUUAUUUGAUUGUACUUCAUUGAAAAGGUUGUCGGAUCCAUCCAAUUUGUAUGAUUUUGCUUUCAGUUCUGUGAAUUGCAUUACGCUGGUGAAAGAUGAAAACUGGAUCAAAACAAUAUAUUCAAGGAUCGUGAAAUACGCAAUUGAGAAAAUCUAUCGUUUUUAUGAUCAUAUUGUGUGCCCCGGAAAGGGGAUUCCCGAGUGGUUCAACAAUCAAACUUUGGGACAUGCGCUAGAUGUGGAGCUACCUCCGCAAUCGUGUAGCAGCUGGAUGGGGAUUGCUUUUUGUGUUGUUUUUGCACAACCUAAGGAUAUCUUGCGUCUUCUUCAAAAACAAAAGGAGAACUUCCUAAAUGUAGAGUACCUUGAACAUGAUGGAUUCUCGAUUCGGUGUUUACCUCGGACUAACCGUAAACAGAGUACAUGGAGUACAAGAUGCUUUACAUGGCCUCUUGUGUCUGAACACCUUUGGAUAUUCUAUUUGCCUCGCAAACAAUGUCUUCAAGAACAGUUUCUAUUUGAAACUUAUUAUAAACUCGGAAUGAAUAAAUCCAAAGUUGGCUUGAAUAUGGUGAAGAAGUGUGGGGCUCGUUUGGUGUACAAGCAAGAUUUGAAAGAACUCAAACGAACACUGAAAAUCUUGAAGUGAACAUACGAAUAUUGUGAAGAGGCAGCUUCAAGUCAAAGUCGUAGUUUUUGACGACAAAGAACAUACCCGCAAAAGGCAGAAGGAAGACAAAUAAUUGUUUCAUGCUUUUUUCAACCAUUCAAUGCCUCAGAGUUUACUCAGAAUCCAUGUAAGUCACCAUCUGAAUCCCAGUAUAACCUACAUAAUAUUUUAGUUUUACUUCUUAAUUCUUUUGAGCUAUAAAAUUUUAACUAGCAACUGUGCCCGAGCAAUGCUACGGGUUUUAAAACCGUAUAAACAUGCAGAAAGUUCUAAAUACCUACAGUAUGAAAAACUAUUUACAUUCAUGUGAAAAUCGAUUUACAGUAACUAACAUAUAGGUGUCCAAGUGUCCAUAUCACAGUCAUUGGUUUCUGGUGCGGAGUUCACAGAUUACUACUGGUUUGAGCUGAAGAGUUGGAUGAACUCGCUCUAAACUCCAAUGAUCUCUACACAGCUGCUUAUCUGUCGGCAAUUCAUCAUCAAGAUAAAUACACUUUUGACCUCAACUCUCCAUUUAUAACUCAAUCUUUCACAGAAACCCAAUAACUAUCUACUCCUGCAUGACCAGAACAUAAAUCUACCUUAAUUAUAGUUCUAAAACUGAAUUCAACCCAUAAAUCCAAUUCUAAAUUACCAAACAAUUAAAAAAAAAA